CUUACACAUGCAAGUCGAACGGUAACGCGGGGCAACCUGGCGACGAGUGGCGAACGGGUGAGUAAUAUAUCGGAACGUGCCCAGUAGUGGGGGAUAGCCCGGCGAAAGCCGGAUUAAUACCGCAUGAGACCUGAGGGUGAAAGCGGGGGAUCGCAAGACCUCGCGCUAUUGGAGCGGCCGAUAUCAGAUUAGCUAGUUGGUGGGGUAAAGGCCCACCAAGGCAACGAUCUGUAGUUGGUCUGAGAGGACGACCAGCCACACUGGGACUGAGACACGGCCCAGACUCCUACGGGAGGCAGCAGUGGGGAAUUUUGGACAAUGGGCGCAAGCCUGAUCCAGCAAUGCCGCGUGCAGGAAGAAGGCCUUCGGGUUGUAAACUGCUUUUGUCAGGGAAGAAAUCCUCUGGGUUAAUACCUCGGGAGAAUGACGGUACCUGAAGAAUAAGCACCGGCUAACUACGUGCCAGCAGUCGCGGUAAUACGUAGGGUGCCAGCGUUAAUCGGAAUUACUGGGCGUAAAGCGUGCGCAGGCGGCUUUGCAAGACAGAUGUGAAAUCCCCG
rnacentral:rRNA from 1 species